AGUCCAGCUAGUACCGUUCCGCGUCCAUGUCUCAUAGUGCUUGAAUUAGUGAUUGUCGGGUUCUAACCCUCUGCUUCCGUGCAGAUCUUCUCACUACCGCGGCGUUGUCCUCCCACACAGCCUUCCUGGUUUCCACACCGACCCGGCUGGCCUUCCACAACGACCAGCCUCUGCUCAUUCCAAGCGAAUAAGAAUUUUAACUUUACAACCCUCGUCUAUUGUGGCCUGGCGAGCAGCGCGGGAAGGACGGAACGGGUGCCCAUAGCGGUUAUGCAACUCUCGCACCCCUUACACCGAACGACUCCGAGAGUUGCCUUUAUUGAACCCACACAUGACACACCAAACACAAGUUAAAAAGUGUCUCUGCUCUAUUUCCUCAUUGUACAUUGAAAGCAAUAUAAUUAAUGACCGUCAGGUGCAACCAGAGUAGAGCACUGUGUUGUGCAUAUCCAGUAAAACUAUGCGCUCAUUUGGAAUAGCUUUCGUUUCCUCUUUCUCCCAACCUCCCUGCCUCUCGGCCCAAAUAAAAGGGAAAACAGAUGUGCUUCCUUGUCAUCUCUCUUCAAGAUGGGUUUACUCACUGCAGCAGUCGUUGGUACAAUUGGUGCUGGUGGUGCCGUGGUCGCUGCCCCUUUCGUUCUGGGGGCCGCAGGUUUUUCCGCAGCAGGAAUCACCGCUGGGUCAUAUGCUGCAGGCAUGAUGUCAGCAGAUGCCGUAGCGAACGGAGGUGCGGUGGCACCGGGCACUACAACGGCCGUGUUGCAGUCAGCAGGUGCGGCUGGUCUUGGCACAGCUGCGACUGCUGCAACUGCUAGUGCAGGAGGAGCAACGGCAGCUCUACUGGCUUUUCUCAUCUAACUACAGCCGGAACUUGUCCAAGCAAAUCUUUCAUUCGUUUUUUGCAUUAGGCUACAUUACACAAAGGCCUUUAAAAACAUUUUCUUCCCCAUUUCUCUUAGCAAUCCUUGCUAACAUUGGAAUGGGGCUGGUGUAUCAUUUUAAAUAUGUCAGUUGACCUUGUUAAACAAAAUUCUGAAGCCAAAUUUAUUUCUCAUUGCUUAUGCUUACAAUGCAGCCAUCUAAACAAAAUUCAAUAAAAACAUUACAGCAUAUUCAUUGUUUUGGAUCAUUUAUUUAAUAUUUAAGGAAGGGAGCAAUGCUUUAAAAUGUUAAAUUCCAGGCCGGAGGGAGAGUUCAGCAUAUUGUGGCUGAAUUUCAGAGUUGUCCUGAACACAGCAAGAAUAGAGCUGGGUAGUUUGAACACCUUUGCUAUAACAAUAAACACCUGGGCUGGUUACCUUUAAUUUCCUAAUGCUUUAUCUUGUUAUGGACUUUCAUUUUAUGUGGGUCAGAUGAGGCUUCUGAGUGUUCAAUAAGAAAAGAUGGAAGGGGAUGUUUAAGUGUGCUGUCUCAUCAAUUGAGCACUUUGAAACACUUUUAAUUGAAUAACCCCACACUGGCAAUUUGUUUAGUUUGACAACCAAAAGGUUAGUUGAAUGAAAGUUAUUUUGGUUACAUUACAACACCCAGCUCCGCUAUAGUCGCCCAGAGCCGUCACCAAGUAAGUGUGAAUAGGACAGUCCAUCAGCUGGCCUUUGGCAUAGAACUUCUUCUGCAGCUACCCCAAAGCCUCAAGGAAUCCCUUCAAUGGCCCCUGGGAAAAGCAGGGAAAGAGUUGGCAUCUGAAACCAUAAUACUGGGAUCAUCUUAUUUGUUGUACAGAGAUACAUUUUGGAAAAGCUAAAAAAGGUUUUAUUUAAAACUAGCCCUUUUAGUGAACCAUCUUAACGUUAUACCUUUACCUUUACCUUCCCUAACCUACGACCUAAACUGAACCAUAUAUAACCUACUGCCUACUAGACAGUACCUUAAGCAUGAUCAACUUCACCAUCUCUAACUUAAUACCUAAACUUAUCUCUAACCUUACACCGAAAUUAACUCAUCUCCAAUCAAGCUAGGGAUCUAGGUUAAUUGUUCCGACUUAUUUUAAAUGAAACCAUGCAAGAAACUACUCGGAACUGAUUUUUAUUUAUUAUGUAACUAUCGGAUGCUUUGUUUAUCGAGAAACGAAAGCUAUAUAAUGAAUGACCGCCAGGUGGCAUCAGAGUAGAGCACUUUGCUCUGCUGUCUAGUGAAACCAGGCGUUCAUUGGAUAAAUAGCUUUCGUUUCCCCACCAACUUACCCAAAUAAAAGGCAAACGGAGAACGAAUCCGAGGCAUCUCUCACUCUGCAUCAUGGAUUACCUAUGCGCAGCAGUCGUUGGUACAGUAGGUGCUGGUGCUGCCGUGUUCGCUGCCCCUCUCGUUCCAAGUGCCCCUGACUGCAGCCCGCAGAUCGAGGAGGAGCUAAAUGUUGGCGGGUCUAAACGUUUAAGCCAGCCCACAUUUAAAGGCCUACUAUGCAACUUUUUUAGCCAAAAUUAAAUUAAGUAUGCAGGUUGAGAGUUA